rnacentral:rRNA from 1 species
UACGGGGGGGGGCAAGCGUUGUUCGGAAUUACUGGGCGUAAAGCGUGCGCAGGCGGUUUUGUAAGUUUGUCGUGAAAGCCCCGGGCUCAACCUGGGAAUUGCGAUGGAGACUGCAAGGCUAGAAUCUGGCAGAGGGGGGUAGAAUUCCACGUGUAGCAGUGAAAUGCGUAGAGAUGUGGAGGAACACCGAUGGCGAAGGCAGCCCCCUGGGUCAAGAUUGACGCUCAUGCACGAAAGCGUGGGGAGCAAACAGG